GGAUGGAAAAUACACAAAUUCUGCCUCUACUGGGAAGAAAGCCUUCUGACUGGACACUUGGAGGAGAGGGAGCCCUAUGUUCCUGGCCGCAGCAGUCUGGCGUGGAGACUCUCCCUGGCUGAGCUGAUAUUUUAGUUCAGCUCUUUCCUUGUUUGGUAAUGAUUCAUAAACUGCCAGUGAGAUGCCAUAGAGAGUGCACACACACUGAAAUCAGAAAGACAGGUCUCACCACAUUGUGAUCCUCCUGUGCCACCUCCCAGCUGGUACUACAGCCCUCACCGGACAACUGAGCCUGCCAGCGCCUGGACCAUGGGUUUCCCAGCCUUCAG